AAUGCACCAAUUUGUAAGUCGCUUUGGAUAAGAGCGUCUGCUAAAUGAUGUAAA
rfam:Salmo salar isolate Sally breed double haploid chromosome ssa15, whole genome shotgun sequence.